rnacentral:rRNA from 1 species
CUAGUUGGUGAGGUAACGGCUCACCAAGGCAACGAUGUCUAGGGGAUCUGAGAGGAUUAACCCCCACACUGGUACUGAGACAGGGACCAGACUCCUACGGGAGGCAGCAGUAAGGAAUAUUGGACAAUGGUCGCAAGACUGAUCCAGCCAUGCCGCGUGAAGGAUGACGGCCCUAUGGGUUGUAAACUUCUUUUGUACGGGAAAAAACCCCUCUACGUGUAGAGGGCUGAUUGUACCGUAAGAAUAAGGAUCGGCUAACUCCGUGCCAGCAGCCGCGGUAAUACGGAGGAUCCAAGCGUUAUCCGGAUUUAUUGGGUUUAAAGGGUGCGUAGGCGGAAUGAUAAGUCAGUGGUGAAAGCCUGCAGCUUAACUGCAGAACUGCCAUUGAUACUGUCAAUCUUGAGUACAUUUGAUGUGGGCGGAAUGUGUCAUGUAGCGGUGAAAUGCUUAGAUAUGACACAGAACACCGAUUGCGAAGGCAGCUCACAAAACUGUAACUGACGCUGAGGCACGAAAGCGUGGGUAUCAAACAGGAUUAGAUACCCUGGUAGUCCACGCUGUAAACUAUGAUUACUCGAUGUUUGCGAUACACUGUAAGCGUCUAAGCGAAAGCGAUAAGUAAUCCACCUGGGGAGUACGCUCGCAAGAGUGAAACUCAAAGGAAUUGACG